UACGUAGGUGGCAAGCGUUGUCCGGAAUUAUUGGGCGUAAAGCGCGCGCAGGCGGCCUUUUAAGUCUGAUGUGAAAGCCCACGGCUUAACCGUGGAAGCUCAUUGGAAACUGGAAGGCUUGAGUACAGAAGAGGAAAGCGGAAUUCCACGUGUAGCGGUGAAAUGCGUAGAGAUGUGGAGGAACACCAGUGGCGAAGGCGGCUUUCUGGUCUGUAACUGACGCUGAGGCGCGAAAGCAUCGGGAGCAAACAGG
rnacentral:rRNA from 1 species